rnacentral:rRNA from 1 species
GGGCUGCAGUGAGGAAUUUUGCGCAAUGGGGGCAACCCUGACGCAGCAACGCCGCGUGAGUGAAGAAGGCCUUUGGGUCGUAAAGCUCUGUCAAUCGGGAAGAAGUUAUUGUUAUCUAAUAGGUGGCAGUAUUGACGGUACCGAUGAAGGAAGCACCGGCUAACUCCGUGCCAGCAGCCGCGGUAAUACGGGGGGUGCAAGCGUUAUUCGGAAUUAUUGGGCGUAAAGGGCGCGUAGGCGGUUUUGUCGGUCAGAUGUGAAAGCCCGGGGCUCAACCCUGGAAGUGCAUUUGAAACAGCAAGACUUGAGUACGGGAGAGGAAAGCGGAAUUCCUGGUGUAGAGGUGAAAUUCGUAGAUAUCAGGAGGAACACCGAUGGCGAAGGCAGCUUUCUGGACCGAUACUGACGCUGAGGCGCGAAGGCGUGGGUAGCGAACAGGAUUAGAUACCCCGGUAGUC